UACAGAGGUCUCAAGCGUUGUUCGGAUUCAUUGGGCGUAAAGGGUGUGUAGGUGGCGCGCUAAGUCGGGUGUGAAAUUUCGGAGCUUAACUCCGAAACUGCAUUCGAUACUGGCGUGCUUGAGGACUGGAGAGGAGACUGGAAUUCAUGGUGUAGCAGUGAAAUGCGCAGAUAUCAGGAGGAACACCGGUGGCGAAGGCGGGUCUCUGGGCAACAACUGACGCUGAGGAGCGAAAGCGUGGGGAGCAAACAGG
rnacentral:rRNA from 1 species